rnacentral:rRNA from 1 species
AGAGUUUGAUCCUGGCUCAGGAUGAACGCUGGCGGCGUGCUUAACACAUGCAAGUCGAACGAACCUUCGGGUUAGUGGCGGACGGGUGAGUAACGCGUGAGAAUCUGCCCUCAGGAGGGGGAUAACGGCUGGAAACGGCCGCUAAUACCCCAUAUGCCGAGAGGUGAAAUGAAUUUCGCCUGAGGAUGAGCUCGCGUCUGAUUAGCUAGUUGGUGUGGUAAAGGCUCACCAAGGCAUCGAUCAGUAGCUGGUCUGAGAGGAUGAUCAGCCACACUGGGACUGAGACACGGCCCAGACUCCUACGGGAGGCAGCAGUGGGGAAUUUUCCGCAAUGGGCGCAAGCCUGACGGAGCAACGCCGCGUGAGGGAUGAAGGCCUCUGGGCUGUAAACCUCUUUUAUCAGGGAAGAAGAUCUGACGGUACUUGAUGAAUAAGCCACGGCUAAUUCCGUGCCAGCAGCCGCGGUAAUACGGGAGUGGCAAGCGUUAUCCGGAAUUAUUGGGCGUAAAGCGUCCGCAGGCGGUCUUGAAAGUCUGUUGUUAAAGCGUGGAGCUCAACUCCAUUUCAGCAAUGGAAACUAGAAGACUAGAGUGUGGUAGGGGCAGAGGGAAUUCCCGGUGUAGCGGUGAAAUGCGUAGAUAUCGGGAAGAACACCAGUGGCGAAGGCGCUCUGCUGGGCCAUAACUGACGCUCAUGGACGAAAGCCAGGGGAGCGAAAGGGAUUAGAUACCCCUGUAGUCCUGGCCGUAAACGAUGAACACUAGGUGUCGGGGGAAUCGACCCCCUCGGUGUCGUAGCCAACGCGUUAAGUGUUCCGCCUGGGGAGUACGCACGCAAGUGUGAAACUCAAAGGAAUUGACGGGGGCCCGCACAAGCGGUGGAGUAUGUGGUUUAAUUCGAUGCAACGCGAAGAACCUUACCAGGGUUUGACAUCCUGCGAAUCCCUUGGAAACUUGGGAGUGCCUUCGGGAGCGCAGUGACAGGUGGUGCAUGGCUGUCGUCAGCUCGUGUCGUGAGAUGUUGGGUUAAGUCCCGCAACGAGCGCAACCCACGUCUUUAGUUGCCAGCAUUAAGUUGGGCACUCUAGAGAGACUGCCGGUGAUAAACCGGAGGAAGGUGUGGAUGACGUCAAGUCAUCAUGCCCCUUACAUCCUGGGCUACACACGUACUACAACGCUACGGACAAAGGGCAGCAAACUCGCGAGAGCUAGCAAAUCCCAUAAACCGUGGCUCAGUUCAGAUCGUAGGCUGCAACUCGCCUACGUGAAGGAGGAAUCGCUAGUAAUCGCAGGUCAGCAUACUGCGGUGAAUACGUUCCCGGGCCUUGUACACACCGCCCGUCACACCAUGGAAGUUCGCCACGCCCGAAGUCGUUACUCCAACCCGCAAGGGAGGAGGAUGCCGAAGGUGGGGCUGAUGACUGGGGUGAAGUCGUAACAAGGUA